rnacentral:lncRNA from 1 species
GGCACAAGAUUUUCUUCCCAACUUCUUGGAGAACGACCACCGAUAGUUUGAUUUUCUCCUUCAAAUAGCCCUUCCACAGUAGCAGAACAGCCCCCCAAAAAGCUUUCUUCCAAGUAUGAAUCGCACGAACUUGGCUCUGAUACCAGGAAUUAUUGGAUUCGUCUCCUCAAUCUACUGCACAAUGCCCUACACACAGCAAAAAUGAGAAAACCAGAGGAGAAAGAAAGGGAACAGAUUUAAAACUGUUUCUACUAUUAGUUUAGGUGAUGGCCAAUAUCUGAUAUAUAAAGGCCUUACAAAAAAGACGAAUCUAGAAAAUCUAUAACAGAAAAUGAAAACAGACUCUACACUAUAGGAAAUAAAAAAAUAAAAUAACAUCUCACCUAUGACUCAGUCUACUAACAACUUCUUCCAUUAUUUUGCAUCACUAUUCAACAAAGAGUCCAAUCCUUGAUUAGUAGAAUCAUAUAUCUGGCUAGAUCUGAAUUAUGCAGUGCGUCAUAUCUGAAUAUGAGAUUGUUUCACUCUUUCAUACCAAAAUCCCAUCGAGAUAAUUGUGUGGUAAGUUGAGAGAGUAUCUUUCUUGGGUGGCGAGAUCUCCCAAUGAUGCAAGACAUCCCAUAUUCUCUCUAGAAGUUGUUGAUUUGUGGUUGUAUGUAGUAUGGGAUUCCAGAAUAACUUGGAGUAAUCACAUGUAAGUAGUAAAGGAUUCAAAAAUGAGGAGCAUAGCAAAUAGGAACUUGGGCCUUGAAUGCCUUUCUUCUAAAUAUUGUUUGCUGUGAGAAGCUU